AUUGAACGCUGGCGGCAUGCUUUACACAUGCAAGUCGAACGGUAGAGGGGGCAACCCCUUGGGAGUGGCGAACGGGUGCGUAAUGCAUCGGAACGUGCCCAGUCGUGGGGGAUAACGCAGCGAAAGCUGUGCUAAUACCGCAUACGAUCUCUGGAUGAAAGCGGGGGACCGAAAGGCCUCGCGCGAUUGGAGCGGCCGAUGUCAGAUUAGGUAGUUGGUGGGGUAAAGGCCUACCAAGCCAACGAUCUGGAGCUGGUCUGAGAGGACGACCAGCCGCACUGGGACCGAGACACGGCCAAGACUCCUACGGGAGGCAGCGGUGGGGAAUUUUGGACAAUGGGCGCAAGCCUGAUCCAGCAAUGCCGCGUGCAGGAAGACGGCCUUCGGGUCGUAAACUGCUUUUGUACGGAACGAAACGGGCUGGGUUAAUACCCUGGGCUAAUGACGGUACCGUAAGAAUAAGCACCGGCUAACUACGCGCCAGCCGCCGCGGUAA
rnacentral:rRNA from 1 species